GUCUAUGCCAGCCUGGAAACGGGCCUUGGCGUCGGGUCUCGCUUUGCAAAAAGUGUGGGCUGUCUGAAAACCCUUGAAUAUAAAACUUUGUUGCUUUGGCGGGCCGCCUCUUUUGGCGUCGGCCCCGGCUGACAGCGCCCGCCAGAGGCCAAAAACUCUAUUGUCUUUGACGUCUGAGUACUAUAUAAUAGUUA
rnacentral:misc_RNA from 1 species